rnacentral:rRNA from 1 species
AUGCACGCUGGCGGCGUGCCUAAUACAUGCAAGUCGAGCGAACAGACGAGGAGCUUACUCCUCUGACGUUAGCGGCGGACGGGUGAGUAACACGUGGAUAACCUACCUAUAAGACUGGGAUAACUUCGGGAAACCGGAGCUAAUACCGGAUAACAUGUUGAACCGCAUGGUUCAACAGUGAAAGACGGUCUUGCUGUCACUUAUAGGUGGAUCCGCGUCGCAUUAGCUAGUUGGUAAGGUAACGGCUUACCAAGGCAACGAUGCGUAGCCGACCUGAGAGGGUGAUCGGCCACACUGGAACUGAGACACGGUCCAGACUCCUACGGGAGGCAGCAGUAGGGAAUCUUCCGCAAUGGGCGAAAGCCUGACGGAGCAACGCCGCGUGAGUGAAGAAGGUCUUCGGAUCGUAAAACUCUGUUAUUAGGGAAGAACAAAUGUGUAAGUAACUAUGCACGUCUUGACGGUACCUAAUCAGAAAGCCACGGCUAACUACGUG